UUUAGAGUUUUAAGAAGCUUUGAGCGUAGAAAAUAGUAUAAGUUUUCUUCAAGAAUAUCCUCGCCUUACCAGUCGGAAUACUCUUCUUUUUAAGGUAAGGGGUAUUAUUCUUUCAUAUUCAUGAAGAGAGUUAUUUUCUUUCAAUACUCGUAAGGGUUGUUAUUCCAUUCUUUAUUAUUAUGUUGGAAUAACCUGUCUAUGCAAAGUACUGCAUACAUGAUGAAAUUCUUCUGUUAUUCUAUUCUUUAUUAUUCUGCUGGAAUAACCUGUCUGUUCAGUUUAUCGCAUGCCUGGUGAAUUCUGUUUUUAUUCCAUUCUUUAUUAUUCUGUUAGAACAUCCUGUCUGUGCGGAUUACGCAUGACCUGGUUCCAUUCUUUAUUAUUCUGUUGGAAUAUCCUGUCUAUGCGGAUUACGUAUGACCUGGUUCCAUUCUUUAUUAUUCUGUUGGAAUAUCCUGUCUAUGCGGAUUACGUAUGACCUGGUUCCAUUCUUUAUUAUUCGGUUGGAAAGACAUGAUGUUCCAACAUAAUAAUAAAGAAUGGAACCAGGUCAUGCAUAAUCCGUACAGACAGGAUGUUCUAACAGAAUAAUAAAGAAUGGAAUAACAACAGAAUUCACCAGGCAUGCGAUAGACCGCACAGACAGGUUAUUCCAAUAGGAUAAUAAAGAAUGGAAUAACAGAUGAAUUUCACCAUGUAUGUGGUACUUCGCAUAGACAGGUUACCAACAUAAUAAUAAAGAAUGGAAUAACAACCCUUACGAGUAUUGAAAGAAAAUAACUCUCUUCAUGAAUAUGAAAGAAUAAUACCCCUUACCUUAAAAAGAAGAGUAUUCCGACUGGUAGUGCGAGGAUAUUCUUAAAGAAAACUUAUACUAUUUUCUACGCUCAAAGCUUCUUAAAACUCUAAAGAAAUACGUUCAAGAUUAUAGAAGAAGAAUUCUCUGAAUUUCUGGUGUGAUUUUCAAUUCUAACUAAGCAUCCUAUUUAUAGAAGAAUGAAAAGGAUACUAUGUUGCAC
rnacentral:lncRNA from 1 species